ACUCAAUAGAUACCCUGGUAGUCCUGGCAGUAAACGGUGCGUGUUUGGUGUGGGAGGAAUCGACCCCUUCCGUGCCGGAGCUAAACGCGUUAAACACGCCGCCUGGGGAGUACGGUCGCAAGAUUAAAACUCAAGGAAAUUGACGGGGGCCCGCACAAGCGGUGGAGUAUGUGGCUUAAUUCGAUGCAACGCGAAGAACCUUACCUGGGCUUGACAUGCAUCACUAAGGCGGUGAAAGCCGUCGACUGGAGCAAUCCAGAUUUUGCACAGGUGCUGCAUGGCUGUCGUCAGCUCGUGUCGUGAGAUGUUGGGUUAAAGUCCCGCAACGAGCGCAACCCUUGUGAUCUGUUGCCAACGAACUUUUGUUCGAGCACUCUGAUCAGACUGCCCUGUGAAACGGGGUAGGAAGGUGAGGAUGACGUCAAGUCAGCAUGGCCCUUACGCCCAGGGCUGCACACGUACUACAAUGCACAGUACAGAAAGAGCCGAGACCGCGAGGUGAGG
rnacentral:rRNA from 1 species